rnacentral:lncRNA from 1 species
AUAACUUAUAAAUAUUUAGAAUCACCUUUAUUAGACAUUAGUGACCAUUGAAGUUUUAUUUUGAUUCUUUUAUUUGAUAUUUAGGACAUAUAUUAUACAAAUCUUAUUAAAAAAAGGAUUGGAGAGGGAUCUUAAAAGCAAAAAGAGAAGUUAGGGCAUCUAUAUGGAUGGAUGGAGAUAGAUGAUAAAAAUCUCCAUUCCUAUUGGCCAAAAAUCAUGCCUAGUAGGUUUUAAGGAGGCUACGUGAGGCCUUAUUAGGAAUUAGGGUUAUUCUUUUGAAACCAUUCGAGCUUUGGAGGCUAAAAUCAGAAAGUUUAGGUUUUUGGCUAUGGUUUAGGUGGAAAUUUUGUGUAAUUUGGAGUUUAUAUGAAAGAGAUAUGGGCGCUCAAAGUCAAGGUGUUGAUUUUGUACCUAUUGCCAUUGUUUUGGAUAGAACGCGUGUACAGAAA